AUGAUUCGAAAAGGCCUACCUUGCAAGCUCAUAUUCCAUGUACUAAAGUACUUGAAUAUAUCUGAAAUACCAAAGUGUUUAGUUCUUGUGCGGUUCACGAAAAACGCAAGGUUGGGACUGCCCGCGAGGCGCACAAGUGACCUGUUGAGAUUUGGAUGGACUGGAGCAGCUGAAAGAAUGAAAUAUAGCCAGGUUAGUGUGUUGGCUUCAGAAGCUAUGCAUGCGGCAUGCAAACACCCAGCUUUGUGGGAUCAGUCACAGGAGAGUUUGAAGACCGUGAUAGCUAAGAGCCAUGAGUAUGAUCAGCUAAAGGAAAAUUUGAGUAAGAAAACGGCUGAUCUCAGUAGUUGUGCAAUUGAAUAUGUAGACGAUGGUGAAGGCAACAUAGUUGAAGUUCAAGAUCCUAUUAAAGUAUCAAAGAAAGGUGCAACUAAGGUAGAUGAGAACCGCCUUAUGUGA
rnacentral:rRNA from 1 species